AACGGACCCAGAGGCAAGGUCCCACGGGGGCGUGGGGCGCCGAGCGAGGCGCUUGAAAGGCACAAGCAUUGGAGACCAGCUGCCUCCACAAUCAUGCCCCCCCUGCUUUCCCGGUAGUUGCUGUUGUUGUACCAAAAAGUGCAUAAGGGGUGGACAUUACUUAACCAUCAUUUCAAUCCUGGGGACAUGGAGUCAUUGCUAACCAGGACCGGUCACUGCUAGCCAAAACAAGACUUCAUAGGUGCA